rnacentral:piRNA from 1 species
UUGGAUAUUGCUACAGAUUUCCAAGUUGCCU